GUAGACUGGAGAAUGAAAGUCACUAUAGUAAAAGCAAACAGUUGAAUGCGUUUUGGAUGUCACGGAAUGUUUGACAUUUUCUCUUAAAUUCUUCGUACGCUGUUACCGCUGUUACAUUAGCAUGUGUUUUUUGUAAAUAGAAAAACUUAGAGGUGCGUCUCCGAGUUCUGAAUUAGUAAAGGAGGCAGGAAGUCUAAGAAAUAGUAUUCUCUUUUUAUCCCAAAGCAGAGCGUGAUAUGUGUAGUCAUUUCGCAAACACAACCGGGGAGGUGUUUACAGGAAAUUCCGAUGAUGGACAUGCUGCAAAAGCUGGGAAACUUCAAGAAGAAACUGUCCAAGAGCCCAUCCUGAGACUGCAAAAGUGGUUUGCUGUGGCUUCUGUGAGCAACACUGAUGGAGAACACCAAGGAAUUUAGGAAAAGUUCUUCCAGAGUGGGAGGAACAAAAAGAAGUUUGGGGAGGACAUGUUCCUGCCUUAAGCAAUCCAGAAUGCAGUACUGUAUUUAGGAGAAAUGUCCCCUGAGAUUCCUUUGAACAACUGAAACAAAACACUUGGGGGAAGAGCUAUCUUUUUCUGGCCAACAUCAAUUUGUUGUAUAGUGGGACAGAUUUUAAGCAGUUAUGUAAUAGCUCCCAGGAGUUUAACUAGGGUUAGCUAGAAAACCAGCUGCUAACUAUGUAAUAGUAAAUUUUUUAAAAAAUCUGAUAAAUCGUGACCCUUCAUGAUUCUUGUUUGUUCCAGAAUAGCAGAAGAAAUUAAUCCAUUGCUCAUUGCCAUUUUCCUAUUGAAGACCAACAUUUUAUUUUCUCACUUGACUAUGCCAAGUGCUUUUGCUCCUCCUGACUGAGCAAUUCUGAUUAAAAAAUAAAUAGACAAUAAUAAUAGAAUUGUAGAAUCUGUUUCAGGUACUCUCUAUAAAGUCCUUGAAGGCAAACAUCAAUAAAG
rnacentral:lncRNA from 1 species